GACGAACGCUGGCGGCGUGCCUAAUACAUGCAAGUAGAACGCUGAAGAGAGGAGCUUGCUCUUCUUGGAUGAGUUGCGAACGGGUGAGUAACGCGUAGGUAACCUGCCUUGUAGCGGGGGAUAACUAUUGGAAACGAUAGCUAAUACCGCAUAACAAUGGAUGACACAUGUCAUUUAUUUGAAAGGGGCAAUUGCUCCACUACAAGAUGGACCUGCGUUGUAUUAGCUAGUAGGUGAGGUAAUGGCUCACCUAGGCGAGGAUACAUAGCCGACCUGAGAGGGUGAGCGGCCACACUGGGACUGAGACACGGCCCAGACGCCUACGGGAGGCAGCAGUAGGGAAACUUCGGCAAUGGGGGCAACCCCGACCGAGCAACGCCGCGGGAGGGAAGAAGGUUUUCGGAUCGUAAAGCUCGGUUGUAAGUCAAGAACGGGUGUGAGAGUGGAAAGUUCACACUGUGACGGUAGCUGAUCAGAAAGGGACGGCUAACUACGUG
rnacentral:rRNA from 1 species